rnacentral:rRNA from 1 species
GACGAACGCUGGCGGCGUGCUUAACACAUGCAAGUCGAACGGGCUGCCUGGUUUUCGGAUCGGGUGGUGAGUGGCGAACGGGUGAGUAACACGUGAGUAACCUGCCCCUCUCUUUGGGAUAACGUCGGGAAAUCGGCGCUAAUACCGGGUAUUCUGGCUUCCUCGCAUGGGGUUGUUGGGAAAGGUUGUUUCUGGUGGGGGAUGGGCUCGCGGCCUAUCAGCUUGUUGGUGGGGUGAUGGCCUACCAAGGCGGUGACGGGUAGCCGGCCUGAGAGGGUGUCCGGCCACACUGGGACUGAGACACGGCCCAGACUCCUACGGGAGGCAGCAGUGGGGAAUAUUGCACAAUGGGCGGAAGCCUGAUGCAGCGACGCCGCGUGGGGGAUGACGGCCUUCGGGUUGUAAACCUCUUUCAGUGCAGAACAAGGCUCUUUGUGGGUUGAGGGUAUGCGCAGAAGAAGCGCCGGCUAACUACGUG